GGAUGUGACGGUGACCUGGCUGCAGCCUCUCUUCCCCGCUGAUAACCAGGGUACAUUCGGUUGCUCAGACCCUCAGCUUCUCCUCUCUCCUUUACUAUUCCAGGAGGGUCCCUCCUGAAAUUGCACUCCCAGCAGAAAAGGGUAAUAUUCUCAGAUAAAGGAGGGUGUUUCUUGGUAAGGGAGA
rnacentral:snRNA from 1 species